UGGGGAAUAUUGCGCAAUGGGGGAAACCCUGACGCAGCGACGUCGUGUGAGGGAAGAAGGCCUUCGGGUCGUAAACCUCUGUCAGAAGGGAAGAACAUCCGGGAGUCGAACAGCCUCCCGGCCUGACGGUACCUUCAGAGGAAGCGCCGGCUAACUCCGUGCCAGCAGCCGCGGUAAUACGGAGGGCGCAAGCGUUAAUCGGAAUCACUGGGCGUAAAGCGUGCGUAGGCUGCUUGAUAAGUCAGACGUGAAAUCCCUCGGCUCAACCGGGGAACUGCGUUUGAUACUGUCGAGCUAGAGUCCUGGAGAGGGUGGCGGAAUUCCUGGUGUAGGAGUGAAAUCCGUAGAUAUCAGGAGGAACACCGGUGGCGAAGGCGGCCACCUGGACAGGUACUGACGCUGAGGUACGAAAGCGUGGGGAGCAAACAG
rnacentral:rRNA from 1 species